CAUCGUUCUUGUGCACUAAAGCCGUGCAAACCUGCAGAGAUCAAUCGGACAGCAGAUAAAAAAGCUGAUCAUUGUCACACCCUGCUUCACACCCGAGACGACACACAGCAAGCUGCCCACGCCGCAAGAAUCCGUCUCUGUCUCCCAGGGCUGCUGAUAGCAACAUUGCUCUCUUCACUUCCCGGUCACAGUGACCUUGCAACUCCUACACGAAGGGCAGUCACAGAUGCCUGAUGUAAUCAGACCCCUGUUUCACAGCUCAAACAGGAUGGACAGGCUGUUGCACAGAAACACCAGUACUUUCAUUCAUGCACAUGGAAGAAAGGGCUGGAUCUGCCUCCCAUUGC
rnacentral:lncRNA from 1 species